rnacentral:lncRNA from 1 species
ACAGCUCUUGAGCUGGGGCUGUUUGGGAGAUCUCUGUUUCUGUCUGCGUCUCCUAGUCUGUUCAAAGGAGCAGUGGUUUGGGUGUCCCACCAAGAAGCCGCUUUCCCACACGGGAAAGGAAGAGGUCUGGGGCAAGCAGAUGGGCCUGGGUCGCUCCACUUGGCAUAGGCCCAUCCCUGGAGCUCUUGGGCCCAGAGAGACCUGCCUCCACCCCAUCUCAGCCAGGAUGUCCUGCAGAGCUCAGACCCCCGGGAGGCCCCCGUGACCUUUGACGGGAGGGAGCACCCAGGCAGAUCGUGGGGAGCCCGGAACAGCUCACAUGGCACAAACUCCCCCUGCACUGAUUCCCCUCAGCUUGUUCCACUUUCAAAAAUAGCUAAUGAGGAAAUUAAUUUUGUCACCCAGAUGUAUUCAGUAAAAACAUGUCAGGGAAAGACAAUUAACCUCUGUGCUGAUAAAUCCUUCCCAAAUUAAUGAAGUUAACAUUUGUAGAUAUUGAGAGAUUCAUUUGGGGAAAGAGGCCCUAAAUUACAGCUUCCUCCAGGCUAAGAAGGGGAGGUUGAGGGUAGAAAGAAAGGAGAGAGAUAGAAAGACAUGGAGCAGGAGAGCAAAGACAGAAAUGCACACACCUACAGGGAGCAUAGUGAGGCCAGGACAGGGAGAGAGGAGAGAGGGUGGGGGCUGGCAGAGAGACACAGAGAGAAGGAGACUGAGGGAGAAGGAGCUGGGCUCAGUGGGAGCCUGGCUGGGGCCCUCCCGAGCAUUUUCCAUUGGUCCAGGCAUUCACUUGCAGUUGACUUGCAGAAGACUCAACAACUUCAACCAGAGAAAGAAAAGAGCUGAGGUAUUUUUAAGAUGUAAAAUUUUCGGUCCCCCCUUGGCCUGAUGUCUCUCUGCCUAAGGUCUCUGGAUUCCUUUCUCCCUGGGAGCCCAGGCCCUGGGAGCUGACUUGCCAGCAGAAGGGGCUGGCUGGCUGGAUUGGAUCUUUCUGAAAAUGUUCAGCCUGGGGUCCUGUGUUUCCCUGAGAGCAGCUGAGUCCUGGCAUCAGCAAGUUUAGCCUGCCACCCAUGCAGGAGCCCCCUUCACUUUCUCCCCUUUCACCAAGAGCAGUCACGCCCCUGAGGCAGUAUCUUACAAGAGGUGAGUCUCUGCCUGAGUUGGACCCUUUGAUCCUAGGUUAAGACUGGCUUGAAAAGACAGGAAAGCUUAGGCCACGUGGACAGACAGGUCAGGGGGUGUUGGCAAGCUGACAGUGAUGUGGCAGGGCCCAGGGUGGGAGGAAGGGACAGCCCAGCCCAGACUCGUGCUCUCCCAACCCUCUGCAGCCUCAGCCCCAUCUGAGGAGCCCCAGCUUAGAAAGCAAGUCCUACUCUGCUCCUGGAACGGAGAUGAAAAAGACAGCUUCCCAGGAGACCUCCAGUUUUGGCGAUGUCAGGUUGAAUGGCUGAGGGGCCUUGUGACCUCCUGAGUUCCCAUCACGUCCAAGACCGG